rnacentral:rRNA from 1 species
UAAAAUAAUUAAGGGCACACAAAGGAUGCCUAGGUAGUAAGAGCCGAUGAAGGACGUGGUAAGCUGCGAUAAGCCUAGAUAAGUUGCAAUCGAACGUAAGAGUCUAGGAUUUCCGAAUGGAGCAAUCUAUUAAGAUGGAGUCUUAAUACGAAAGAGGGAACCGCGUGAACUGAAACAUCUAAGUAACGCGAGGAAAAGAAAGUAAAAACGAUACCCAAAGUAGCGGCGAGCGAAAUGGGUCAAGCCUAAACCUUAAAUAUGUCAAGGAUACAGCCGUUGUAUUUAAGGGGUUGUGGGACAGAGUGAUGAAGAACUGUAAGAUAUUCAAUAUAGUGUAUUGAUGAAUUAGAAUUGUCUGGAAAGGUGAACCGCAGAAGGUGAAAGUCCUGUAUAAGUAAAUCCUUACACAUAUAACUUUGCUCCCAAGUAACAUGGAACACGAGGAAUUCUGUGUGAAUCUGUGAGGACCAUAUCUCAUAAGGCUAAAUACUCUUACUAACCGAUAGCGCAUAGUACCGUGAGGGAAAGGUGAAAAGAACCCCUGGAGGGGAGUGAAAUAGAACCUGAAAUUGUGUGCUUACAAGCGGUCAGAGCCCAUUUGGGUGAUGGCGUGCCUUUUGGAGAAUGAUCCUGCGAGUUACGUUAAACGGCGAGGUUAAGUAUAACGGAGCCGAAGGGAAACCAAGUCUUAAUAGGGCGAUUUAGUCGUUUGGCGUAGACGCGAAACCUGGUGAUCUAAACCUGUCCAGGAUGAAGCUGUGGUAAGACACAGUGGAGGUCCUAACCCACCGCCGUUGAAAAGUUGGGGGAUGAGGUAGGUUUAGGGGUGAAAAGCCAAUCGAACCAGGAGAUAGCUCGUUCUCUCCGAAAUGCAUCUAGGUGCAGCCUUGAGUGUUCAAUUAUGGGGGUAGAGCACUGAAUGAUCUAGGGGGCAUAUUGCUUACUGAAAUCAAUCAAACUCCGAAUACCAUAAUUUAUAGCUCAGGAGUGAGACUAUGGGAGUUAACUUCCAUUGUCAAAAGGGAAACAACCCAGACCACCAGCUAAGGUCCCUAAUUAUAACUAAGUGGGAAAGGAGGUGGAGAUUCACAAACAACUAGGAGGUUGGCUUAGAAGCAGCCAUACCUUUAAAGAGUGCGUAAUAGCUCACUAGUCGAGAGUCUCUGCGCCGACAAUGUAACGGGGCUAAGUUAUAAACCGAAGCUGUGGAAUCCGUAAGGAUUGGUAGGAGAGCGUUCUGUAGGCCGUUGAAGGAGAAGGGUAACCGACUCUGGAGGUAUCAGAAGUGAGAAUGCAGGAAUAAGUAGCGAGAAAGGGGGCGAGAAUCCCCCUCGCCGGAAGACCAAGGUUUUCAGGGUAAAGCUUGUCUUCCCUGAGUAAGCCGGGACCUAAGCCCAGGCUAUAAUGCGUAGGCGAAUGGAAAACAGAUUAAUAUUUCUGUGCCAGUCAUUUAUUGUGAUGGAGGGACGCAGAAGGGUAUGCGCGCGGACGAACGGAAGUGUCCGUAGAAGUAUGUAGGAUGACUUGAUAGGAAAAUCCAUUGAGUUAUAUCUGAGGUAUGAUAUACAGUCGUAAGAUGAAUGCGCAAAUCCCACGCUGCCAAGAAAAGCUUCUAACGUUAAUAUAUGACUGCCCGUACUGUAAACCGACACAGGUGGUCAGGAUGAGAAAUCUAAGGCGGACAGGCUAACUCUCGUUAAGGAACUCUGCAAAAUAACCUCGUAACUUCGGGAGAAGAGGAGCCCUUGGGUGUUAGUAUCCAUGCGAUACAAAGCGCUCGAGGGUCGCAGUGAAGAGGCUCAAGCAACUGUUUAACAAAAACACAGGUCUAUGCUAAGCUGGAAGGCGAUGUAUAUGGGCUGACACCUGCCCAGUGCUGGAAGGUUAAGAGGAGGAGUGAGAGCUCCGAAUUGAAGCCCCAGUGAACGGCGGCCGUAACUAUAACGGUCCUAAGGUAGCGAAAUUCCUUGUCGGGUAA